rnacentral:rRNA from 1 species
AGCGAACGCUGGCGGCAGGCUUAACACAUGCAAGUCGAGCGGGCGUAGCAAUACGUCAGCGGCAGACGGGUGAGUAACGCGUGGGAACAUACCUCUUGGUUCGGAACAACACAGGGAAACUUGUGCUAAUACCGGAUAAGCCCUUACGGGGAAAGAUUUAUCGCCGAGAGAUUGGCCCGCGUCUGAUUAGCUAGUUGGUGAGGUAACGGCUCACCAAGGCGACGAUCAGUAGCUGGUCUGAGAGGAUGAUCAGCCACAUUGGGACUGAGACACGGCCCAAACUCCUACGGGAGGCAGCAGUGGGGAAUAUUGGACAAUGGGCGCAAGCCUGAUCCAGCCAUGCCGCGUGAGUGAUGAAGGCCCUAGGGUUGUAAAGCUCUUUUGUGCGGGAAGAUAAUGACGGUACCGCAAGAAUAAGCCCCGGCUAACUUCGUGCCAGCCGCCGCGGUAAG